ensembl:lncRNA
UAUUAUCUGUAUUAUUUAUGAUCAGCACUGAGGCUGCUGAACGCAGUAGUACUACCAGACUUGUGGACGUGUGGCGAUCGAUGGAGGGCUGAGAGCUGAUAGGAGGAUGGGUGUGUUCAUUGAGCCAUGUGGUUUCUCUGCCUAGCCUCGGAGCUCUCUGAGGGCAGACGCUAGCGCCACAGCCCGCCAGACACACCACACACUGAGAGCCUGUCGGAUUUCAGAAUUGUUCACCUGACUCUGUGUGUGAUGACAACUCCUUCCAGCAUGUCUGCAAAGGAUCUUGACUGCUUUGAGCUGGAGAAGAAUACAGGUCCUAAUGCUGAAGUGUUUUAUUAACGGUGGUGCUGGACAACAUGAUGACAGUAAUAUCUAACAUCACACCACUGUCACUCACCCAGAGGACCAGUCAUUCAGAGCCGUGGCCCGGCCGCUGGCCAAUGGCGUGCGUCGGCUGAGCACCAUCUCGGAGCAGGAGCUGGUGCUCAGUCCCCAGGGGGGCAGGGGUGACGCGUGGGGCAGGUCCAGCCUCUCCCUGGCCUCCGACCGGAGGUACCGCAGCAGCACCAGCUGCCUCUCCACCGAUGACUCGUACCAGCCGGCCCCCGGAGACUACUGUGCAGCCAUGGUCCUCUCCUGCCUGCACUGUCGUUUCCGUGAGCUGGCGUGGGCCCUGCCGGAGGUGUGCAGCAUGGCCCUGCAGCGCCUCUUCCCCUCCUGCACGCACACGGAGCUGACCGGGGGCGAGGCGGACCCGCCGGGCCGCGACUGGUGUGGCUGCACGGCGCUGGAGCUGGACUGCAGCGGCUGCCACUCCUGCCAGGACGCGGCGGAGCUGCUGGAGUUGGCCAUGGAGAUAUCAGAGGUCUGCUACCGCUGAGGAAACCCGCACGGGGAUAAGACCACCUUUGGGGUCCCGGUCGGGACGUUUUGUCCUGGACUCUGUCCUGCAGCGCCAAAGAAGAUAGAAUUGGACAUGCAGCGUUGUUGAAAACACCCGCAUCCCAACCACACACAUAGCGCUCAUAUUCCCACACAGACUUAAAGGGGGUCCACUCCUGCCCUAGAUUAUUGUCAUUAACCACGCGUGUUUCUUGAUUACAUUGUGUGAUAAUGGCAUGGGUAUGAUGGAAGAGAAGGCAUGCUAGAUGCUCUAAAUUCGAUACACCUGCCCUUUUUGGAAUACUUCCCAGCCUAAAUAAAGCACAUAACUGUGUUUAAACCAUGUGACAUUAAUAGUCUGUU